CAGCAGCCGCGGUAAUACGAAGGGGGCUAGCGUUGCUCGGAAUCACUGGGCGUAAAGGAUGCGUAGGCGGGUCUUUAAGUCAGGGGUGAAAUCCUGGAGCUCAACUCCAGAACUGCCUUUGAUACUGAAGAUCUUGAGUUCGGGAGGGGUGAGUGGAACUGCGAGUGUAGAGGUGAAAUUCGUAGAUAUUCGCAAGAACACCAGUGGCGAAGGCGGCUCACUGGCCCGAUACUGACGCUGAGGCACGAAAGCGUGGGGAGCAAACAGGAUUAGAUACCCGCGUAGUCCCUGUCUCUUAUAC
rnacentral:rRNA from 1 species